GUACGGCCUUCAACAAUGAGCAAAGCCCAUACCGCAUAGUCAGCUAUAAAAGGCCCCGAUAAGACAAUGUAAAACAAUUCAAACGAGCAAACUAACGGCCUUAUUUAUAUAAAAAAAAAUGAACGAAAAUCAAAUAUGUAACACAUAAACAAACGACAACCACUGAAUUACAGGCUCCUGACUUGGGACAGGCACAUACAUAAAUAAUGUGGCGGGGUAAAACAUGUUAGCGGGAUCCCAACCCUGUGUCAUUCUUUAUUUUUUUAAAUCUUGUUUUUUAUUAAGACAAAACCCCCAUUAAAUAUUACAUUUGUAUGUACACAACAUUUGAUUUUGUAUGGAUACAGGAAACACGAAUGGGACACACAUGGAACAUGUGCUUUAAGUCUAAACACAACUGGCACAGAGUAUUUGUUCUUUAGGAAAACACUCGACUUAAUGAAAAUAUACAAUGCUUCAAGGUAAGUUUUAAACUGAGUAAUAUAAAAUCCAUCACAGAAAAGUUUCCUAUGUCAGACGAAGAAAAUACAAAUGAGACAAGAUAUUUUCAAGGAGAGAAAUUUGCGCAAGUAGAUAAAAAAUCUUAUAAUCAUAUAAUAUAAAUAUAAUUGUAAUAGAGUAUGUGGUAUCUUGUGGUAUCAACUGACCGGUGCUACUUUCAAAGUUUCGUUGUCACACAUCCUUAAAGAUGGUUCGUAGUAUUAUUUUGGAAUUAAAAGGACGUUCAAUACAAUUAAAAUCACAAUGUAAAGAAAAAUACUAUGUUAUUUUAGAUUCCUUGAUAGAAAAGUUUUAGAUGCAAAAAGUUGCGAAUUUGCAUGCAUAUCUAAGACGUGACCAUGUUUCAAUUUUUUGCAGUUGAUGAAUUCGAACGAUAUAAAAUGUAGUUGAAUCGGAAAAAACAUUUCGUAUAAAAUGCCAAUUUGUACAAAUGAAGUCGAAAUAGCAAUUGAAGCAAAAAAUACUAUAUACAAUAUGAUCAAAUUGAGUGUUGUGUUAUUGCUUAUUUUUUUCAUUUUUUUUAAUAGUUUGGUAGUCACAAGUAGCUCAUUAAAAUGACUAUUUGUAUAAUUAAGCAUACACAAUAUUAUUUAUAAAAUUCAAACACUUUCUUUCGUAUAGCAUCAAUUAAACAAAAAAGUAUAAGUCGUGGAAAAAAAUGACAUUAUAAUUGAUGUGCAAAUAUCCAUUACAUUAUAGGUAUCUCAGUAAAAUGAACAUUAUUCCAAGUGACACACCUUAUGUUGUAAGUAUCAUAUUUACUUAUACGAUGUGAAAAUAACACAGACAUAUUCACCACAAUUUGGUAUUCAUGAUUAUUUUGACCUCGAAAUAAUAUAUAUUUUUGUGGAAUUGCACAUUUUAUAGACUUGAAUUGGUGUGAUAAAUUCUAUUUUCGAUAAUAGGUGGAAAUUUUCCUUGUUGCUCGAUAAUAUCACUAAAUCAGGACCCCACUACUUUGGUACGGACAUGAUUGCUUUUAAUGAAUUUUGAAGUGACAAAACACAUGGACUCAUUUGAAAUUUAAGGCAAUACCUCCUCCAUGCAUUACUCUGAUUCCUUUUCUGGAUUUGUUGUACACUUUUUUUUUCGUUUGCAGUAUAUAAGCUCCUGACAUUUUUGUUUUUGGUUUUGGACCUACAGAUAUUUGAUCCUCGAGCUUCGAAGAAGAAAAUCCCAUUAUUCAUUGAAAUGCAUGUGGGGCGUAGGUAUUGAAACAGCUGCCUUGAAAUGUUCUAGGAUAAGCAACAAUCCCGAAAAAGGAAACUCAAGAUUGUAUCAACUGAGAAAUAUAUUGCUUUGCUGCUAUAAUUUUGAAACAUGACUUGAACAUGUUGAAAGGUUUACAACAGGAAUUAGAAUUAGUGUUUUACUGGUCUCGUACGGUUAAGUUUUCAACUGACUUCAAUUGACAGUUUUAGUUGGAAGUCAAGUAAAGUAUGAAAUAAAAUUCCGAGCUCCAUGGACAAUCCUGUAGUCCCUCAAUAUAUGGCAAAAUCCAAAGCUCAAACACAUCAAACAAAAUAGCAUCAUAUAGUGAUGCCUCUUUAGUUUCUGUCAAAUUCAAGAUUUAAGAGAGAAGAUUUCUAAUUUCACGAAGCGUUUUGUUAAGGUUUAAAACGCAGAACGGGAUAAUAUAUAUAUAGACUGUUACUGAAAGAAAUUGUUUUAUAGAAAUAAUGCAUUACAAUAAAUGAUGUGAUAGGGCCACGAUGAAGAACCUCAGUACUUUGAGCGAAAGGAGAUGGGUCUCAUUAGCUUUUACCCUAGGUUUAUUUUAAGAAGAACUAUUUAUAUAACUCACCCAAAUAGAUUCUCUCAUGGAAAUCGAGCAACAUAAAAGAGUCCUACAGUUUUAUCAGUUUAUCAAUAAAUCAUUAUCAUAGUCCCAGAAAUGGAUAUCAAAAUUCAACAUCUGGUUAAAGUUUACCUAUCUUGAAAUGAUUCAACAAAUGUCACAUUCAUUUAUGUUUUACUAUUAUCCUGUUAUGUUCUUUUCCUUACAGACUAAAACAGUUCAAAGUGUCAUUCAAAAGGCACUCGGAGUAAUGCCAAAUUUACAGUGUUACAGAUAUAAGGUAAUAAUAAUCAAUGUUAAAAUCUUCAGGUUUUUUUUAAUUGUAGUUCCCUAAAUUGCAAGUAAUUUGAUGAAAACAUAACAGAAGGUACUAUUGAAAAUGGAUGAUUGACUAAUUAAAUUGAAACGCUUCGAAUUAAUAUGUUGCUAUUCACACAUUUUCUAAUUGUAUUUUCACAGUGUACAUCAAUAAAUGUGUUUGUUUUAAAUUUCAGUCAGAUUACUUACUGGCAGAAAUAAGGAUAUGUAUGGACAAACGGUUUAAACUUAUCGAAUGCCCUACAAGUGACUCGACUUUAUACUGGAGAAGACGGGCUGAAACUGAACCUUGUAGAAGAGGAAAGAUAUAUUUUCCUGAGAUUAAAAGGAAUUAAUCAUAAAAGAGAACAACAAAUAUAUGAAUGUUUAUGCAUAGGGUACACGAUUUGUGGCUGGUACAACGUAGCUCAUGUUUACCUUGGAAGUAAUAAGCAUGAUGAAUUAUAGCUAACAUGCAAUUAAUAUGAUUUUCCAGUUUUGGGUUGUAAUAACUAACAAUGAAGUUAUCUUUAUAUAUAUAGAUAUAGUUUUUUGACAGUAUUAUGAUCCUCUCACACAAGUAUAGUUGUGUAAAUUUAAAAAAGGCAAAACCCUUGAAUUUUAAAGUUUGCUCAGCCAGAACAAUGCUACUGGUAUACUGAUUUUAUUUAAAAUGUAUGCAAAUUUCCAAAAAAAAUCUUCUAUUGUUAACAUUUUAAAAAUUAAAAUUUCCCCAUCUA
rnacentral:lncRNA from 1 species